rnacentral:rRNA from 1 species
UACGUAGGGUGCAAGCGUUAAUCGGAAUUACUGGGCGUAAAGCGUGCGCAGGCGGCUAUGCAAGACAGAUGUGAAAUCCCCGGGCUCAACCUGGGAACUGCAUUUGUGACUGCAUAGCUAGAGUACGGUAGAGGGGGAUGGAAUUCCGCGUGUAGCAGUGAAAUGCGUAGAUAUGCGGAGGAACACCGAUGGCGAAGGCAAUCCCCUGGACCUGUACUGACGCUCAUGCACGAAAAGCG